rnacentral:rRNA from 1 species
AGUGAACGCUGGCGGUAGGCCUAACACAUGCAAGUCGAACGGCAGCACAGUAAGAGCUUGCUCUUACGGGUGGCGAGUGGCGGACGGGUGAGGAAUACAUCGGAAUCUACUUUUUCGUGGGGGAUAACGUAGGGAAACUUGCGCUAAUACCGCAUACGACCUACGGGUGAAAGCAGGGGAUCUUCGGACCUUGCGCGAUUGAAUGAGCCGAUGUCGGAUUAGCUAGUUGGCGGGGUAAAGGCCCACCAAGGCGACGAUCCGUAGCUGGUCUGAGAGGAUGAUCAGCCACACUGGAACUGAGACACGGUCCAGACUCCUACGGGAGGCAGCAGUGGGGAAUAUUGGACAAUGGGCGCAAGCCUGAUCCAGCCAUACCGCGUGGGUGAAGGAGGCCUUCGGGUUGUAAAGCCCUUUUGUUGGGAAAGAAAAGCAGCAGGUUAAUACCCCGCUGUUCUGACGGUACCCAAAGAAUAAGCACCGGCUAACUUCGUG